GAAUGAAUUAGAUUUUUGUUGAGCUCCAGGCAAACCAUUUUCCGUACGUUCUUUGUUAGCAUAAUGUCUGGCAAAUUUCAUAAAACUUACAGGGCUAUUACGAAACGCAAACGGAAAUUUCGCAAACGGAAAGUCACAAUUCAAACGGAAAGCAAAUUUGCAUUAUGGUUGCUCGUUGGAGUUUAUGAAAGCUUCAUCGACUUUUUUCUUGGAUCAAUCAAUCUGUCAAGAUGAAAACCAUAAACAAAAUUCAAAAUAGCAGUUCGUCGAGAGAAGCAACUGUAUGAUUUUUUUAACAAAAUUUGAGUUUUGAAGUCGCAAAUCUCAUCACCACUGUUGUAUUUCGUGUGAAUAAUGAGUUACAAAAGAAGUGGACACCUCCGUAUUCACUUUUUUAUAAUCAAUUCUCAAGAAAAUUGUACUUUCCGUUGCUUUCGGCUGACGGAAAAUUUUCUCUCUAACGGGGUUUCCGUUUGGCACAGGUAAUGCAAAUUUUUUACUUUCCGUUUGUCAUCAAGUUAUCAUUGAUUUUUGAAACGUCUGAUGUGCCAAACGGAGAGCCAAACGGAAAGUCAUAAUACGAAAGGCAACUUUGUGUGACGUUUGAAAAGAUGUUUGCGUUUCAUAAUAGCCCU